CAGCUCAAAUUUGAAAUCUGGCCCCCCCGGGGUCCGAGUUGUAAUUUGUAGAGGGUGCUUCGGGCGCGAUGCCGGUCUAAGUUCCUUGGAACAGGACGUCGUAGAGGGUGAGAAUCCCGUAUGCGACCGGCGACCAAGCCCGUGCGAAGCCCCUUCGACGAGUCGAGUUGUUUGGGAAUGCAGCUCAAAACGGGUGGUAAAUUUCAUCUAAAGCUAAAUAUUGGCCAGAGACCGAUAGCGGACAAGUAGAGUGAUCGAAAGAUGAAAAGCACUUUGGAAAGAGAGUCAAACAGUACGUGAAAUUGUUGAAAGGGAAGCGCUUGCAAUCAGACCGGUCCGGAGGUGAUCAGCCGCCGCUCGUCGGCGGUGCACUCGCCUGCGAUCCGGCCAGCAUCGGUUUAGGCGGCGGGAUAAAAGUCCCGGGAAUGUAGCUUCUCCCGGGGAGUCUUAUAGCCCGGGUCGCAAUGCCGCCCGCCCGGACCGAGGACCGCGCUUCGGCUAGGAUGCUGGCGUAAUGGUUGCAAGCGACC
rnacentral:rRNA from 1 species